AAAGAGAGUGAAACAGUACGUGAAAUUGUUGAAAGGGAAACGCUUGAAGUCAGUCGCGUCGUCCGAGACUCAGCCUCGCCUCGGCUUGGUGUACUUCUCGACCGACGGGUCAGCAUCAAUUUUGCCCCUUGGAUAAUGGCGAGGGAAAUGUGGCACCUUUGCGGGUGCGUUAUAGUCCCUCGUCGCAUGCAAGGGUCGGGAUUGAGGAACUCAGCACGCGCCUUUUGGCGUCGGGGCUUUGCCCACGAUACGUGCUUAGGAUGUUGGCGUAAUGGCUUUAAACGACCCGUCUUGAAACACGGACCAAGGAGUCUAACAUGCCCGCGAGUGUUCGGGUGGAAAACCCGUGCGCGCAAUGAAAGUGAAAGUUGGGACCUCUGUCGUGGAGGGCACCGACGCCCGGACCAGACCUUCUGUGACGGAUCUGCGGUGGAGCGUGUAUGUUAGGACCCGAAAGAUGGUGAACUAUGCCUGAAUAGGGUGAAGCCAGAGGAAACUCUGGUGGAGGCUCGUAGCGAUUCUGACGUGCAAAUCGAUCGUCAAAUUUGGGUAUAGGGGCGAAAGA
rnacentral:rRNA from 1 species